UUGGAGGGCAAGUCUGGUGCCAGCAGCCGCGGUAAUUCCAGCUCCAAUAGCGUAUAUUAAAGUUGUUGCAGUUAAAAAGCUCGUAGUUGAAUUUCGGGGUUAGUAGGCUGGUUAUGCCACUGGUAUGUACUGGUCUUACUGAUUCCUCCUUCCUGAUGAACUGUAAUGCCAUUAAUUUGGUGUUGCAGGGAAUCUGGACUGUUACUUUGAAAAAAUUAGAGUGUUUAAAGCAGGCUAACGCUUGAAUACAUUAGCAUGGAAUAAUGAAAUAGGACGUUCGAUCCUAUUUUGUUGGUUUCUAGGAUUGACGUAAUGAUUAAUAGGGAUAGUUGGGGGCAUUAGUAUUCAAUUGUCAGAGGUGAAAUUCUUGGAUUUAUUGAAGACUAACUACUGCGAAAGCAUUUGCCAAGGAUGUUUUCAUUAAUCAAGAACGAAAGUUAAGGGAUCGAAGACGAUCAGAUACCGUCGUAGUCUUAACCAUAAACUAUGCCGACUAGGGAUCGGAUGAUGUUAAUUUUUUAAUGACUCAUUCGGCGCCUUACGGGAAAC
rnacentral:rRNA from 1 species